rnacentral:rRNA from 1 species
GAUGAACGCUGGCGGCGUGCUUAACACAUGCAAGUCGAACGAAGCAUUUCUGCGGAAGUUUUCGGAUGGAAGCAGAGAUGACUUAGUGGCGGACGGGUGAGUAACGCGUGGGCAACCUGCCUUGUACAGGGGGAUAACAGCUAGAAAUGGCUGCUAAUACCGCAUAACCCUUUGGCGCCGCAUGGCGCAGAAGGAAAAGAUUUAUCGGUACAAGAUGGGCCCGCGUCUGAUUAGCUAGUUGGUGGGGUAAUGGCCUACCAAGGCGACGAUCAGUAGCCGACUUGAGAGAGUGAUCGGCCACAUUGGGACUGAGACACGGCCCAA